rnacentral:rRNA from 1 species
UAGGGAAUCUUCGGCAAUGGGGGGAACCCUGACCGAGCAACGCCGCGUGAGUGAAGAAGGUUUUCGGAUCGUAAAGCUCUGUUGUUAAGGAAGAACGAGUGUGAGAAUGGAAAGUUCAUGCUGUGACGGUACUUAACCAGAAAGGGACGGCUAACUACGUGCCAGCAGCCGCGGUAAUACGUAGGUCCCGAGCGUUGUCCGGAUUUAUUGGGCGUAAAGCGAGCGCAGGCGGUUAGAAAAGUCUGAAGUGAAAGGCAGUGGCUCAACCAUUGUAGGCUUUGGAAACUGUUUAACUUGAGUGCAGAAGGGGAGAGUGAAAUUCCAUGUGUAGCGGUGAAACGCGUAGAUAUAUGGAGGAACACCGGUGGCGAAAGCGGCUCUCUGGUCUGUAACUGACGCUGAGGCUCGAAAGCGUGGGGAGCGAACAGG